rnacentral:lncRNA from 1 species
UCCAAUAAUGCAGGAAAGUGUGAAGCUACCCGGAUCUUUGACCUUCGCCGGCAGCUUCCUCUGCAAGAUUGCGCUGCAUUCUUCAUUGAGAUUCACCGUCUCAAACUCUCCCAGCCUCCUCUUCCUCGAGAUAAUGUCCUUCAGGAAUCUAGCAUACUGCGGCAUCUCCUGCAGUGCUUCCACCAAUGGAAUAUUAAUAUGUACUUUCCUGAAGAUCUCUAAGAAUUUGGAGAACUGCUCUUGUCCCUUCUCUUUCUUCUGGCGCUGAGGGAGAGGUAUAGUCACAGUUGCUGGCGAAGUAGCUGUCUGCUUUUCAUCCUUCUUUUUGCCAGAAACCUCAACAGUGACCUC